rnacentral:rRNA from 1 species
UAGGGAAUAUUAGAAAUGGACGAAAGUCUGAUCUAGCAACACCGCGUGUGCGAAGAAGGCCUUCGGGUUGUAAAGCACUUUUUGGAAGGAUUAGGAAGGAAUGUACUUCCAGAAUAAGUCUCGGCUAACUACGUGCCAGCAGCCGCGGUAACACGUAGGAGGCAAACGUUAUCCGGAUUUACUGGGCGUAAAGCGCGUGUAGGUGGUUCUGUAAGUAGGGCGUGAAAGCUCCUGGCUCAACUGGGAGAGGCCGUUCUAAACUGCAGAACUAGAGGAUGGUAGAGGGAGGUGGAAUUUCAGGUGUAGCGGUGGAAUGCGCAGAUAUCUGAAGGAACACCAGUGGCGAAAGCGGCCUCCUGGACCAUUCCUGACACUCAGACGCGAAAGCUAGGGUAGCAAACG